AAGCUCGUAGUUGAAUUUCGGGGUUCUACCGUUGGUCGGGCUAACCAGUCUGUACUAGCGUGUAGAAUUCCUACCUUCUGGGGAACCAUCAUGUUAUUAAUUUAACGUGGUGGGAAGCCAGGACCUUUACCUUGAAAAAAUUAGAGUGUUCAAAGCAGGCUUACGUCUGAAUACAUUAGCAUGGAAUAAUAAAAUAGGACGGUGGUCCUGUUUUGUUGGUUUCUGAAUCACCGUAAUGAUUAAUAGGGAUAGUUGGG
rnacentral:rRNA from 1 species